rnacentral:rRNA from 1 species
AGAGUUUGAUCCUGGCUCAGGAUGAACGCUAGCUACAGGCUUAACACAUGCAAGUCGAGGGGAAACGACAUUGGAAGCUUGCUUCCGAUGGGCGUCGACCGGCGCACGGGUGAGUAACGCGUAUCCAACCUGCCCACCACUUGGGGAUAACCUUGCGAAAGUAAGACUAAUACCCAAUGAUAUUUAAAGAAGGCAUCUGAAUUAAAUUAAAGAUUUAUCGGUGAUGGAUGGGGAUGCGUCUGAUUAGCUUGUUGGCGGGGUAACGGCCCACCAAGGCGACGAUCAGUAGGGGUUCUGAGAGGAAGGUCCCCCACAUUGGAACUGAGACACGGUCCAAACUCCUACGGGAGGCAGCAGUGAGGAAUAUUGGUCAAUGGGCGAGAGCUUGAACCAGCCAAGUAGCGUGCAGGAUGACGGCCCUAUGGGUUGUAAACUGCUUUUAUAAGGGAAUAAAGUGGAGGUCGUGACCUCUUUUGCAUGUACCUUAUGAAUAAGGACCGGCUAAUUCCGUGCCAGCAGCCGCGGUAAUACGGAAGGUCCGGGCGUUAUCCGGAUUUAUUGGGUUUAAAGGGAGCGUAGGCCGGAGAUUAAGCGUGUUGUGAAAUGUAGUUGCUCAACAUCUGCACUGCAGCGCGAACUGGUUUCCUUGAGUACGCACAAAGUGGGCGGAAUUCGUGGUGUAGCGGUGAAAUGCUUAGAUAUCACGAAGAACUCCGAUUGCGAAGGCAGCUCACUGGAGCGCAACUGACGCUGAAGCUCGAAAGUGCGGGUAUCGAACAGGAUUAGAUACCCUGGUAGUCCGCACGGUAAACGAUGGAUGCCCGCUGUUGGUCUGAAUAGGUCAGCGGCCAAGCGAAAGCAUUAAGCAUCCCACCUGGGGAGUACGCCGGCAACGGUGAAACUCAAAGGAAUUGACGG